rnacentral:rRNA from 1 species
AACGAACGCUGGCGGCAGGCCUAACACAUGCAAGUCGAGCGAGGACUUCGGUUCUAGCGGCGGACGGGUGAGUAACGCGUGGGAAUGUGCCCUUCUCUACGGAAUAGCCCUGGGAAACUGGGAGUAAUACCAUAUACGCCCUUUUGGGGAAAGAUUUAUCGGAGAAGGAUCAGCCCGCGUUGGAUUAGGUAGUUGGUGGGGUAAUGGCCUACCAAGCCGACGAUCCAUAGCUGGUUUGAGAGGAUGAUCAGCCACACUGGGACUGAGACACGGCCCAGACUCCUACGGGAGGCAGCAGUGGGGAAUCUUAGACAAUGGGGGCAACCCUGAUCUAGCCAUGCCGCGUGAGUGAUGAAGGCCUUAGGGUUGUAAAGCUCUUUCAGCUGGGAAGAUAAUGACGGUACCAGCAGAAGAAGCCCCGGCUAACUCCGUG